CAAUUACUCCCUCUGUUCCAAAUUUCUUGUCUUAGAUUUGUCUAGAUACGGAUGUAUCUAAUACUAAAAUGUGACUUGAUACAUCCGUAUCUAGACAAAUCUAAGACAAGAAUUUUGGGACGGAGGGAGUACNUC
rnacentral:pre_miRNA from 1 species